CAUGUGCUAGUUGUGCACUGUCUUCUGCCAGUCAAUACACAGUGAGGUUUUUCUGCCUUUCUUUCAGAAUCUUUGCAUUCUGCAAUUAGUUUUCACAGAUCUUGAAAUGUUCUUAUCUAAACUUUGGCUUUCUCUGUUAAACCUGGUAAAAAGUUCAAAAAUUAUUAGAAGGUGUGGAAGAGAAUGAGCAUUUGUCAUAGAAAAGAAGACAAUAUAGCUCUCCUAGAGUUCAGAGCCUACUGUAGUGCCAGUGUGGAACACCGUGAGGCCCAAGAGGGAAUUCGCUGCAGAACAACUUUUGAAUGUAGUAGCGGACACCAAAUUUAGACAUCUAGAGGACAAUUCUCUAGUGCCAAUUAAAGCAGUUCAGAGCAUACCCAUCUCUUACUUCCUGUGCUCUGUGCUGGAGGAUGCUGAGAGGAAGUGAGAAAACACAGCUCUCCUGGUUCAAAAUUAAAACAGACCAGAUACCACACAUUUUAGAAAUUGUGUUUAGAAACAAAAUGAGGACUUGGAAGUAAACCAUUCUUUUUCAGAAGUAUGGAUCCACAUUUCCCAAACUUUUACAUUUCCUGCAAAUACCAGUGGACCAGACUUCCAGCAAAUACCUGUGGAAACUCAAAGUCUUGCACCAAGUGCUGUGGUCAACACCCCUACCACUGCAGAGAUGAAGUCCAGAGUCCAUCAAUUGCAGAAAUCAUAACUGACUCAGGAG